rnacentral:rRNA from 1 species
GCCCUUAGAGUUUGAUCCUGGCUCAGAACGAACGCUGGCGGCACGUUUUAAGCAUGCAAGUCGCACGGUAGAGUGUCUUCGGACGCUUGAGAGUGGCGAACGGGUGAGUAACACGUAGAUAAUCUGUCUCGGGGUUGGGGAUAGCCUAUGGAAACAUGGGGUAAUACCGAAUACGUCCGAGCGCUCACAAGAGUGUUUGGAGAAAGGCGCUUAGGCGCCGACCUGAGGUGAGUCUGCGGUCCAUUAGUUAGUUGGUGGGGUAAGAGCCUACCAAGGCGACGAUGGAUAGCCGGCCUGAGAGGGUGGACGACCACACUGGGACUGAGACACGGCCCAGACUCCUACGGGAGGCAGCAGCUAAGAAUCUUCCGCAAUGGGCGAAAGCCUGACGGAGCGAUGCCGCGUGAGCGAAGAAGGCGGGAACGUUGUAAAGCUCUUUUCUCGGUGAGGAAUAA